GGUACUCCUGUCCGGCCAUAAAGUCGAGCGUUGAAGCGGUUUCUGCCGUAAUCCGUCGCAACAAGUGGGGGCAGCUCGGAGAAAUCCUCGGAGGGGUGAGAUUCCCGUG
rnacentral:ncRNA from 1 species